CUCCAGCGUUUUGUGAUUUUUUUUCUCAUUGGCCAAUAUCAAUUUGUAAUGAGCCAAACCUGACUUGAGUAGCAGAUCUACAGGCCCAUAUCUUGGAGGUAUAUAGGUAUUUGGCUGUUGAGGGCAUAGAUUAGGAGGUCUCUUGACAUUCUGUUGCUAGGUUACUGAACCCUGAAUUACUGAACCUUGAACACAGUAUUUGUGUUCUCAAAUUGGUAUUUAUGAUCGAAAGCAGCUGCUAUUCAUAUUUUUUUGGGGGGGAAUACAGGGAAAUAUAAAAUAAAUAAAACUAAGUAGUUAGAUACAGUGCAUCAAAAAGUAAUUGUAAGAAAAUGUUAUUACAAACCAGGUAAAAGAGAUUGAUUCCCCCUUCCUCUCCAUCCAACAUCAGAAGAAUUAUAGUGUUC
rnacentral:lncRNA from 1 species